rnacentral:lncRNA from 1 species
GACAGCGGGGCUCCUGGCUCCCGACUGCGGGGGAAGGAGUAAGCGCUGGCCCUGGUCGGCCCCGGAAGCGGGACCCACAUUCCUCGGAGAGGGAAGGUCGGCUCCAACCUUGCAGAGCCCUACAUUCGCCUCCUGGAAGGGUGAAAGCGGAGAUUGCGGAAGGAGUUUGGGGGUAAACAGCCGCCGCGGCUCCACCAGAUAUAGCCUGCCGGGCCCCCCGCCGAAGAGAAAAUGUGAACUACUACCACCUGUUCCAGAAUUACCCGGCUGCCUGUAAUCAGAAUCUAUCAGAAUUCUGUCAGAAUCUUUGGUGGGCAGGCCCCAGCUCUGCAUUUCCCCAAAUACACUGAAUGAAGUUCAGCGUACCAGCGUAACACCGUGCCGUACAAGACUGUGAUUCAGAGCCUUGUGGCUCCAGGCUUCCUGAAAGGAAUAAAAUGGAAGGAAUCGUCUGGCUGCGAGAACUCAGAGAACAUCCUGUCCUGCCUGCCCCUGGAGAGACCGGGAGCAAAGCUCAAGUUUACCCAGUGCUGCUGAAGAGAGCGGGGAGUCGGCUUCCUGCUGGGCUCAGAGACUCCUGCAUGACUGUCUCCAGAACCUGCCCCAGCCCCAGCUUGCCCUGCCUGGUACCCGUCCUCACAGUGGCACUUGCUGUUCCUACGGCAACACUCCUCUGCCCUCGCCCUCUCCCAGCUCACCUCCAUCCCUGUGACCUCAUGGCAAGGCGACUUCUCAGGCAUCCAGACCAGAUAUGGAGGGCUUUGCAGUCCCUCUGCAAGCAGGGUGGUUAGGAGCACAAGCUUUGGAAUCAACAGACCUGAACACUUGCUGUUUAGUCAAGCCAUUAACCUUGCAGGGCCUCAGUUUCCUCAUCUGAAAAUGGGGUGAGUAAUGAUACCUAUCUCACAGGGUGUUUUCUAGGAAUUCGUGAGAAAAUAUUUGUAAGGAACACAUAGUUCCUAGUCCACAGAAAGAGGUAGCUUAUAAUGCUAUUGGUACUUCUGUUUCUAAGUAUUAGGUUCCCAAGCCCACCUCAACAUCCUAGUUUCUCUAAUGCCGUAUCAAGUCAAAGAAUCUUACAAAUGGAAGAGACAAGAAGUCACCUAAGAUAAGUACUGUUUCUUUAUGUAGUUUUCAUUCAUCUCUCUCUCUCUAAGGAUGAAAUAAUAGCAGUAUUUGGCACAUGCCUGGGAUAUAGUAAAUGCUUAGUAAAUGUUAGGGUUUGUGAUAGUGUUACAUGUCAACUUGACUGGAUCAUAUGAUGCCCAGACAUCUGGUUAAAUGUUAUUUCUGGUGUGUCUAUGAGAGUGUUUCUAGAAGAGACUAGCAUUUGAAUGCGUCAACUGAGUAAAUGGAAUUGCCCUCCCCGGGGUGGGUGAGCAUCCUUCAAAUGAUUAUAAUGGCUUUAAUAUUGGCAAAUCCUGGGCCUCAAAUGUUGGGGUAGGGUGUUUGGGAAAUAGCCAAAUGCCAUUCAAACCCAAGUCAGGUGGAAAAUGUAAUCUCUAGCUGCAUUAAAAUGGAUCCAGAAUGAGGACUGACGGGGCGCCUGGGUGGCACUGCGGUUGGGCGUCUGCCUUCGGCUCAGGGCGUGAUCCCGGCGUUAUGGGAUCGAGCCCCACAUCAGGCUCUUCCGCUAUGAGCCUGCUUCUUCCUCUCCCACUCUCCCUGCUUGUGUUCCCUCUCUCGCUGGCUGUCUCUAUCUCUGUCNNNNNNNAAAUAAAUAAAAUCUUUAAAAAAAAAAAAAAGAAUGA